GAAGUGAAUUCGCCGGGCCCGGAUCGCGCCGUGGUGUUUCAGAACCACAGCCUGCUGCCCUGGCUGACGGUCUAUGACAACGUGCGUCUUGGCGUCGACAAGGUGUUCGGAUCGACCAAAACCCGCGCCGAGCGCGAUGAAUGGGNACCUCAACCUCGUGCAGAUGACCCACGCCAAGGACAAGCGCCCGUCCGAAAUUUCCGGCG
rnacentral:misc_RNA from 1 species